rnacentral:lncRNA from 10 species
CAACCUCCAUCUGCCCGGCUCAAGGGAUCCUCCCAUUCAACCUCCCGAGUGGCUGGGACGACAGUGCACAUUUGCGAGCGGGUGAAAAUUUCUGUGAAUGUUUAUAAGCACAUGGAACGGGCAUCUUUGUGGCUGCGGGAGUUGCACGGGUCACUCAUGAGGCCGCCCACGUGGCGCUUGUUGCUUCACCUCUCGAGUAACUGACGGUAUGUUCUGGCCCUCAGCUCUCCCGGGCAGUGUCCAUCACACUCAUGGCUUCCUAGACUUCCAUCUCCGGUCUAAUCACCUUCCGAACGCCAGAACCAUCACGUCUGCUGCCCUUGAACACCUCCCCUAGGUGUCCCUGUGGGCCACCCAGGUUCCCUCCACCCCAGUCUUCCCCACCUGCUUCUCCUUCAUGCUUCCCUCUCAGGGAGUUUGAGACCAGGCUGACCAACAUGGAGAAACCCCGACUCUACUAGAAAUACAAAAUCAGCUGGGUGUGGUGGCGCAUGCCUGUAAUCCCAGCUACUCGGGAGGCUGAGGCAGAAUUGCUUGAGCCUGGGAGGCGGAGGUUGCAGUGAGCCGAGAUUGCACCAUUGCACUCCAGCCUGGGCAACAAGAGCAAAACUCCGUCUCAAAAAAAAAAAAAAAAAAAAAGUAAAAGUAAAAGAAAGUCAAUCACCAAUAAUGCUGGAAUAUGUCAACUUUUCUCCCACCUCUUGCCACUGAUCCAGACCCCAUUCCCUCUGCCCGGGUGAUCCCUUAUAGCUACCCAGGGCUGCGGCUUUGCUCCAUUCAAGCCAUUUUCCACGCAGCAGCAGCCAGGGCCGUCUUUCCAGAGUGUAUUAGGUUGGUGCAAAAGUAACUGUGGUUUUUGCAAUUAAAAGUAAUUGUAGGCCAGGCACAGCGGCUCAUGCCUGUAAUCGCAGCACUUUGGGAGGCUAAGACAGUUGGAUCACUUGAGGUCAGGAGUUCGAGACCCACCUGGCCAACAUAGUGAAACCUGGUCUCCACUAAAAAUACAAAAAUUAGCUGGGCAUGGUGGCACACGCCUGUAAUCCCAGCUCCUGGGGGGGUGGGGGGGCAGGGCUGAGGCAGGAGAGUCGCUUGAACCCAGGAGACGACAGCUGCAGUGAGCUGAGAUCACGCCACUGCACUCCAGCCUAGGCGACAGAGUGACUCUGUCUCAAAAAAAAAAAAAAAAAAGGAAUUGCAAAAACCGCAAUUACUUAAUAGAUCUGACCAAGACUCUCCCCAGGUUCAAACCCCGGCUUCAAACCUUUUGCUCCUUAUAGUCUUUUUUUAAAACUCUUAUCUGUGGCUCAUUGUGUCUCAAGACAGCCAAGCAAACCGAACUGCUAGGAAUUUUCCCAAUGGAACAUUCUCUCUGCAAGUCCUUUGCUCUUGCGGUUGCUCCUCCAGGAGCUCCUGCCUCCCUCUUCUCUUCCCUUCCUUGAGGCUCAGCAUGGGAGAGGCCCUGCUGCAGGUGCCCUCUGACCUCUCAGGUAGGGGAGGGGGCCUCUGUCCUCUGCAAACCUGCGCUGAGUGCUCUGGAUGGUUCCGUCCCUUGGAUUGGGCCUCCCCAAGGGCAAGACCCUGCCUGGUUCACCCUGGCCGCUCAUGCAGAGGCCUGCCUAACAUAGCUGCUGAAUGAAUGAAUGAAUGAAUUGAAUUGAAUAAUGGACAAAGCCCAACAGGGAGGGUUAGCAUAAAGGGGAGACAGG